rnacentral:rRNA from 1 species
GACGAACGCUGGCGGCGUGCCUAACACAUGCAAGUCAACUUGACUGAAGGAGCAAUCUGACAGUAGAGUGGCGCAAGGGUGCGUAACGCGUAAGUAACUUGCCCAAGGUAAGGAAUAACGUCGAGAAAUCGGCGCUAAUACCUCAUAAUGCAGCGGAUCCGCAUGGAUAUGUUGUUAAAGGUUUACCGCCUUGGGAUAGGCUUGCGUCUGAUUAGUUAGUUGGUGUGGUAACGGCACACCAAGGCUACGAUCAGUAACUGGUCUGAGAGGAUGAUCAGUCACACUGGAACUGAGACACGGUCCAGACUCCUACGGGAGGCAGCAGUGAGGAAUAUUGGGCAAUGCUCGAAAGAGUGACCCAGCAACGCCGCGUGGAGGAUGAAGGUAUUCUAUAUCGUAAACUCCUAUGAGAGCAGACGAAAGACAGAUUAUAAUCUGGAUGACUGUAUGCUCAGAGGAAGCCCCGGCUAAC